rnacentral:rRNA from 1 species
UACUAGAGUAGCACUCGCAUAUCAAUAAGCGGAGGAAAAGAAACUAACAAGGAUUCCCCUAGUAACGGCGAGUGAAGCGGGAAGAGCUCAAAUUUGAAAUCUUAAAGGGUUUCCCUUUACGAAUUGUAGUUUAAAGAAGUGUUUUCUGUUGAGGUUUUGGUAAAAGUUCUUUGGAAUAGGACAUCAUAGAGGGUGAGAAUCCCGUAUUUGACCUUUACUUUCAACUUUGUGAUACACUUUCAAAGAGUCGGAUUGUUUGGGAAUGCAGUCCAAAAUGGGUGGUAAAUUUCAUCUAAAGCUAAAUAUUGGCGAGAGACCGAUAGCGAACAAGUACCGUGAGGGAAAGAUGAAAAGAACUUUGAAAAGAGAGUUAAACAGUACGUGGAAUUGUCAAAAGGGAAGCGUUUGACACCAGUGUUGUUUUUCUGAAAAUCAAUUAAAGAACUGUUUAUGCUAAGCUGUUUAGACUUUAUCAGCUAACUGUUUAGUUUUGAGCUUUUCUUUAAUGCACUUUUCAGUUAACAAGUCAACAUCAAUUUCUUUUGCUGUAAAAAAACUUGAGGAAGGUGGCUUGAGAUUCGUCUUAAGUGUUUAUAGCCUCUUGCCUAUGCAGUCGGAGAGAUUGAGGUCUGCAGCGUAGAUCCUUCGGGGCUAAAUGCAUUUGUGCUAAGUUAUAGCAUUUUAUAGACAACUUGUUGACUAUGAUUUGUCUUGUAGCUUACUCGCUUAUGUUAUUUUACCUACGCUUAGGAUGUUGAGCGCAUGUCUCUCUCU